AGCGGGGGACCUUCGGGCCUCGUGCUAUUAGAUGAGCCUGCGUUGGAUUAGCUAGGUGGUGGGGUAAAGGCCUACCAAGGCGACGAUCCAUAGCUGGUCUGAGAGGAUGAUCAGCCACACCGGGACUGAGACACGGCCCGGACUCCUACGGGAGGGAGCAGUGGGGAAUAUUGCGCAAUGGGCGAAAGCCUGACGCAGCCAUGCCGCGUGUGUGAAGAAGGCCUUCGGGUUGUAAAGCACUUUCAAUUGGGAGGAAAGGUUCACGGUUAAUAACCGUGAGCUGUGACGUUACCUUUAGAAGAAGCACCGGCUAACUCCGUGCCAGCAGCCGCGGUAAUACGGAGGGUGCAAGCGUUAAUCGGAAUUACUGGGCGUAAAGCGCGCGUAGGUGGUCUGUUAAGUCGGAUGUGAAAGCCCUGGGCUCAACCUGGGAACUGCAUCCGAUACUGGCAGACUAGAGUGCGGGAGAGGGAGGUAGAA
rnacentral:rRNA from 1 species